rnacentral:rRNA from 1 species
CCCCCUCCUCCUACUUGAGGCAGCCUUUUGGAAUAUUUCACCCUGGGGGAACCCCUUCUGCAGCGCCUCCUCGUGAGUGCCUCCUUAUUUCGGUCUUUCCAGCUCUAUCCUCCUGGAAGAACCUUCCUGUACCUGCCUCCUCAGCCCCGUCUCCCUACGUGCCCUCCUCCGCGGUAAUCCUUCUGGGGCAAUCUUUCUCCGGAUUUCCUGUUUGUAAAGUGAGCGUAGACGGCAGGGCAAGUCAGAGGUGAAAGCCCGGGGGGAAACCCCGGGACUGCAUUUGAAAAUGUCAGGCUGGAGUGCAGGAGAGGGAAGUGGAAGGCAGAGUGUAGCGGGGAAAUGCGUAGAGAGGAGGAGGAACAAAAGUGGCGAAGGCGGAGGAAUGGACUGGAAAUGACGUUGAGGCUCGAAAGCGUGGGGAGAAAACAGGAUUAGAUACCCUGGUAA